AACGAACGCUGGCGGCAGGCUUAACACAUGCAAGUCGAACGGUUGUAGCAAUACAGCAGUGGCAGACGGGUGAGUAACACGUGGGAACCUUCCUAGAGGUACGGAACAACGCAGGGAAACUUGCGCUAAUACCGUACACGCUCGAGAGAGGAAAGAUUUAUCGCCUUUAGACGGGCCCGCGUCGGAUUAGCUAGUUGGUGAGGUAACGGCUCACCAAGGCGACGAUCCGUAGCUGAUCUGAGAGGAUGAUCAGCCACACUGGGACUGAGACACGGCCCAGACUCCUACGGGAGGCAGCAGUGGGGAAUCUUGGACAAUGGGCGCAAGCCUGAUCCAGCCAUGCCGCGUGAGUGAAGAAGGCCUUCGGGUUGUAAAGCUCUUUUGUCAGGGACGAUAAUGACGGUACCUGAAGAAUAAGCCCCGGCAAACUUCGUGCCAGCAGCCGCCGUAA
rnacentral:rRNA from 1 species